CCCACACACUCUCUCUCUCUCUCUCUCUAUAGACAAUUCGAAAAUCUCUUCACUGUCUCCCAUCUCAGCCAAAACCCAUCUCAGUCUCCAAACCUCGCUGCAACAACCAUCUCACCAAAUACUCCCACCUCUUCUCUGCCAAAUACGUCCCUUUCAACCAUCUCACCAAACCUCCGACGAGUCCUACUCCGUCGACGAAAUCGUGCACCGCUAAACGUCUAGCAUGAUAUCGCCGCUCUCGAAAUCAUGUAGCUAUAGCUCCAGAGAGAGCCAUUGGCCCAAUCAGACGAGCAAAAGGAGGUUGGACUGCACAGGAGGUGGUGAACGAUCUGAAGGGUAUCUUAUGCAAUUUUAUUCUUUCAAGCCAAGUGGGUAUUGAGAGAGGAGAAUUGUCUAGUAGUGAUGAGAAAAAAUAUAAAGCAGUGAAGUGGGCAACUGAAAGGGAGAUUUCUCAAAGUGCUGAUGUCAUUUGUUGCACGUGUUGGUGCUGGAGAUCCUUGAUUGGCAAAUUUUAGGUUCCACCAGAUUGAAAUGCAUCUAACUUGUGAAAGUUUGUCCAGGACUCACUAGUUUAAAAGCUUACUCAUUUUAACUUUUUGUUUUGAGAAAGCACCGACAAAAGUCAACAGUAAAAUCUUGCAUUUUUCGAAAAAACGUAGGCUUGCGACUAGCUACUACUGAAUUUUAUUUCUACUUGCUGCCAUGCUAAGCGAAGGACGAGUUUAGAAGUUGUUUGCAAAUCCCAAUAAUAGCAGAGUGCAUAGUUUGGAAGUUAAGGGAAAAAAGGUAUCGAUUUGUGUGUUGCUUUGUAUUGAGGGUAAUGGCAAAGAAAGCUUAGUUGCUGAAGGACUUUUAAGGUUGAAGUGGAAGCAAUUUGGUGAUUGCUGAAAGAGCUUAUAGGUGUUUUGAUUGUCCCACCUUGCACGUUAGAGGUUUUGCCUUGUGUUUUCAUAUUUUUAUUUUAACUUUAAUAUCAUUGCUUUCAUGUCUA